AGUAGCUACUGCUAAUCCCCGGUCAAAUCGAAAAAAAAAACACUGACAAGAUUAGCAUCACCCCUGCGCAAGGAUGGCGCGCACAGAAAAAUAUAAAGACUUAAAUUUU
rnacentral:snRNA from 1 species